AUACGGAGGGUGCAAGCGUUAAUCGGAAUUACUGGGCGUAAAGCGCGCGUAGGCGGUUUGGUAAGUCGGAUGUGAAAGCCCCGGGCUCAACCUGGGAAUUGCAUUCGAUACUGUCAGGCUAGAGUAUGGUAGAGGGAAGCGGAAUUCCCGGUGUAGCGGUGAAAUGCGUAGAUAUCUGGAGGAACAUCAGUGGCGAAGGCGGCUUCCUGGACCAAUACUGACGCUGAGGCGCGAAAGCGUGGGGAGCAAACAGGAUUAGAAACCCCGGUAGUCC
rnacentral:rRNA from 1 species